UACGGAAGGCAGCAGUGGGGAAUAUUGCACAAUGGGCGAAAGCCUGAUGCAGCUAUGCCGCGUGUAUGAAGAAGGCCUUAGGGUUGUAAAGUACUUUCAUCGGGGAGGAAAAAACAAAACUAAUAAUUUUAUUUCUUGACGUUACCCGAAAAAGAAGCACCGGCUAACUCCGUGCCAGCAGCCGCGGUAAUACGGAGGGUGCUAGCGUUAAUCAGAAUUACUGGGCGUAAAGAGCACGUAGGUGGUUUUUUUAAGUCAGAUGUGAAAUCCCUGGGCUUAACCUGGAACUGCAUUUUGAAACUGAAAUACUAGAGUAUCGUAGAGGGAGGUAGAAUUCUAGGUGUAGCGGUGAAAUGCGUAGAUAUCUGGAGGAAUACCUGUGGCGAAAGCGGCCUCCUAAACGAAUACUGACACUGAGGUGCGAAAGCGUGGGGAGCGAAACAGGGAUUAGGAUACCCGU
rnacentral:rRNA from 1 species